GGUACGACUCUCGGCAACGGAUAUCUCGGCUCCCGCAUCGAUGAAGAACGUAGCGAAAUGCGAUACCUGGUGUGAAUUGCAGAAUCCCGCGAACCAUCGAGUCUUUGAACGCAAGUUGCGCCCGAGGCCACCCGGCCGAGGGCACGCCUGCCUGGGCGUCACUU
rnacentral:rRNA from 1 species